AGCAUAUCAAUAAGCGGAGGAAAAGAAACCAACAGGGAUUACCUCAGUAACGGCGAGUGAAGCGGUAACAGCUCAAAUUUGAAAUCUGGCCCUUUCAGGGUCCGAGUUGUAAUUUGUAGAGGAUGUUUCGGGUGUGGCUCCGGUCUAAGUUCCUUGGAACAGGACGUCAUAGAGGGUGAGAAUCCCGUAUGUGACUGGUUGCCUAUGCUCAUGUGAAACUCCUUCGACGAGUCGAGUUGUUUGGGAAUGCAGCUCAAAAUGGGUGGUAAAUUUCAUCUAAAGCUAAAUAUUGGCCAGAGACCGAUAGCGCACAAGUAGAGUGAUCGAAAGAUGAAAAGCACUUUGGAAAGAGAGUUAAACAGUACGUGAAAUUGUUGAAAGGGAAGCGCUUGCAACCAGACUUGCACUUGGUCGAUCAUCCUCUGUUCUCAGUGGUGCACUCGAUCUCGUUCAGGCCAGCAUCGGUUUUGGUGGUUAGAUAAAGGCCUUAGGAAUGUAGCUUCCCUCGGGGAGUGUUAUAGCCUAGGGUGCAAUGUAGCCUACCGGGACCGAGGACCGCGCUUCGGCUAGGAUGCUGGCGUAAUGGUUGUAAGCGACCCGUCUUGAAACACGGACCAAGGAGUCUAACAUCUAUGCGAGUGUUUGGGUGUUAAACCCAUACGCGUAAUGAAAGUGAACGUAGGUGUGAACCCUUAAGGGUGCAACAUCGACCGAUCUUGAUGUCUUCGGAUGGAUUUGAGUAAGAGCAUAGCUGUUGGGACCCGAAAGAUGGUGAACUAUGCCUGAAUAGGGUGAAGCCAGAGGAAACUCUGGUGGAGGCUCGCAGCGGUUCUGACGUGCAAAUCGAUCGUCAAAUUUGGGUAUAGGGGCGAAAGACUAAUCG
rnacentral:rRNA from 1 species